UGCCAGCCGCCGCGGUAAUACGAAGGGGGCUAGCGUUGUUCGGAAUUACUGGGCGUAAAGCGUACGUAGGUGGCAAAGUCAGUCAGGCGUGAAAGCCCUCGGCUCAACCGAGGAGUUGCGUUUGAUACUACUUUGCUAGAGUCUCGGAGAGGUUGGCGGAAUUCCAGGUGUAGGAGUGAAAUCCGUAGAUAUCUGGAGGAACACCAGUGGUGAAGGCGGCCAACUGGACGGUGACUGACGCUGAGACGCGAAAGCGUGGGGAGCUAACAGGAUUAGAUA
rnacentral:rRNA from 1 species